rnacentral:rRNA from 1 species
UACGGGGGGGGCAAGCGUUGUUCGGAAUUACUGGGCGUAAAGGGCUCGUAGGUGGCCAACUAAGUCAGACGUGAAAUCCCCAGGCUUAACCUGGGAACUGCGUCUGAUACUGGAUGGCUUGAAUUCGGGAGAGGGAUGCAGAAUUCCAGGUGUAGCGGUGAAAUGCGUAAAUAUCUGGAGGAAUACCGGUGGCGAAGGCGGCAUCCUGGACCGAUAUUGACACUGAUGAGCGAAAGCCAGGGGAGCAAACGGG